GAAUGAAGAACGUAGCGAAAUGCGAUAAGUAAUGCGAAUUGCAGAAUUCCGUGAGUCAUCGAAUCUUUGAACGCACAUUGCGCCCUCUGGUAUUCCGGAGGGCAUGCCUGUUCGAGCGUCAUUAUCAACCCUCAAGCCCGGCUUGCUGUUGGGUCCCACCGUGGAAGAAGCGGUGGAUCCGAAAGAUAAUGGCAGAGUCCGCGGGACCCUGGAUGCAACGAGCUUUCUAGUACGCAUCUGGGCGGUCUUCGGGGCUCGGUCUUAACCAAUUUAUUCUCUGGUUGACCUCGGAUCAGGUAGGGAUACCCGCUGAACUUAAGCAUAUCAAUAAGCGGAGGA
rnacentral:misc_RNA from 1 species